rnacentral:lncRNA from 13 species
AUGUGUCUCUGGACAAGCCCCUUGUUCCGAGCAAGGGAAACCGGGCCGCAUUUUAUUUUAUAUCUCCUCUCCCUCUGCCUCUCCUCCCCUUCCCUUUUUCCUUUUCCCUUCCCUUUCCCACCCUUCCCCUCCUUUCCCGUCCCGAGCAUCCCCCUGGGGCGGGCGGGGCCGGGGCUGCCGCACACGCGGGAGCUGCCGGCGCCCGGAGCGGCCGCGGGGCUCGGGGUGAGUAACCCCGGCCUGGGGAGCGGGGGGCGCCGGGGGACCCCCCCGAGCCUCCCGGGGCUGCGGAUCCCCCCGCGGUGCCGGGGGGCGAUUCCUGGGAAAGGCGGCAUCCCGCGGGAUGCGGCUGCCUCGGGAUGCUCCUUGCCGCGGGAUGCUGCUGCCAUGGGAUGGUCACUGCUUUGGGAUGCUCCUGCCCUGGAAUGCUCCUGCCGCGGGAUGUUCCUGCCCUGGGACGCUGCUUCCCCGGGAUUUUCACUGCCCUGGGUUGCUCCUGCCCCGGGAUUUUCCUGCCUCGGGAUGAUGCUGCUCUGGGAUGCUCACUGCUUUGGGAUGCUCCUUCCCUGGGAUUUUUCAUUGCCCUGGGAUGCUCCCGUGCCUGGAUUUUCCUGGCCCGGGACGCUCCGGGAUGCUCCUGCCCUGGGAUGCUCGCUUUCCCGGGGAUGCCGCUGCCCUGGAAUGAUUGCAUCCCGGGAUGCUGCCCGCCCUGGGAUGCUGCUGCCCGGGAAUUCUCACUAUCCCAGAUAUUCCCUGCACCCCGGGAUGGAGCAGCCUAAGGAGCGCAGUGCCGAAGGUCCAUCCUGCCGGAACACCGCUGUCCUCACCCCCCCCGGCAUUCCCCCACACCCGGCAGCUUCGGGAAAGAGCCCCCGGCCUCGGGCGGGAUGGUCCCAAGGCUGUGGGAUGACCUGGGGUGCCACUGUCCUCACGGAGCCUGGGGGGGCAGCCAGAGUGCGGGAAAGCUUCCCUAAAAACUCAGCCAGUGUCAGUAAUCAGUGA